rnacentral:rRNA from 1 species
GAUGAACGCUGGCGGCGUGCCUAAUACAUGCAAGUCGAGCGAACAGACGAGGAGCUUGCUCCUCUGACGUUAGCGGCGGACGGGUGAGUAACACGUGGAUAACCUACCUAUAAGACUGGGAUAACUUCGGGAAACCGGAGCUAAUACCGGAUAAUAUAUUGAACCGCAUGGUUCAAUAGUGAAAGACGGCUUUGCUGUCACUUAUAGAUGGAUCCGCGCCGCAUUAGCUAGUUGGUAAGGUAACGGCUUACCAAGGCAACGAUGCGUAGCCGACCUGAGAGGGUGAUCGGCCGCCCUGGAACUGAGCCACGGUCCAGACUCCUACGGGAGGCAGCAGUAGGGAAUCUUCCGCAAUGGGCGGAAGCCUGACGGCGCAGCGCCGCGUGAGUGAUGAAGGUCUUCGGAUCGUAAAACUCUGUUAUUAGGGAAGAACAAAUUUGUAAUUAACUAUGCACGUCUUGACGGUACCUAAUCAGAAAGCCACGGCUAACUACGUG